GUUCCCCUUCUGGAACCUUCUCUGCAGUAAUUGCCUGGAUAAUAAUAGAGCCACACUGCAGAGGUUCAUGAUGAAGGACAGGCUGUCACUGAACAUAUUGUUUUGUGUCCUGUUCCUUUCCUAACAGGUGCAAGCACUCCAUUUCUCACCUUGGCUGCUUCUGAGCACGGAGUGAACACUUCUGGGUGCUUACAACAGCCCAAGGAGCUCAAGCUGACCAGAUUUUACUGCCAAUUUGAGAUCCAACACUGGCAGCCAGGUUUUUCCAGUGCAUCUUUGCUCAUUGGCAGAUUCUGCCUGGAGAUCCCUGGAAAGUUGUGACUGAAACAGGAAUCCUCUGUGCUCUGGGGGAUAGAUGGCAAAAGGCUGGCAGUUCAGAAUUACAGGAAGAAUUGGACCGGAAAAGUCCUCUGAGUGGGGAGGAAUUCCUGUGUGAACCUCAUCAGCUUUACUGCCCUUCUGCAGCUGGCUCCAAAGUGUAUUUGGUAUGGGCCACUCAAAGCAGCAACCAUCAACUCCCACAAACGGAAGGAAACAGGCAAAAACUUUUCUCACCUUUA